rnacentral:tRNA from 1 species
GACCUCUUAGCUUAAUGGAUAAAGCAACUGUCUUCUAAACAGUAGAGUUCCAGUUCGAGUCUGGAAGAGGUUA